UGUAAUGAGUAAAAGUAAAACGUUGUCCAAAAAAUAAAUAAUGGAGUAAAGUACUGAUACCAGAAAAAUUUACUUAAGUACAGAAAUGUUCUCCAGUAAUAAUGACAGAAGUACUAAAAGCUCAGUGUAGUGCACAUAGUGAAGCAAUGUGUUUACUUUUCCUACCUAUAUUGCAGAAAGUUGAUGAAAACACACAACAAGGGGCUGCAAUGAAGAAAACAACAACAACAACAACAACAACAACAACAACAACAACAACAACUUAACAGUAGACUACACUACACACUAAAGCGGAUCUGAUCCACCCUUUGGUGACAGAUCGCAACCUUGGGAACUUUGAUAACCAUGGACAAUCAAGUGUACACACAGACUGCUCAGAAAGUUGAUGAAAACACACAACAAGGCCCUGCAAGGAAAAACAACAACAACAACAACAACAACAACAACUUAACAGUAGACUACACUACACACUAAAGCGGAUCUGAUCCACCCUUUGGUGACAGAUCGCAACCUUGGGAACUUUGAUAACCAUGGACAAUCAAGUGUACACACAGACUGCUCAGAUUUUUGGAUCCUCAUCACAGAAAUCUGGCAUCUGAAUGCUCCAAACAGAUGGAGUCCUCACAGAGGAAAAUCAAGCUUGAGAAACACUAAUGAUAAAAUGAUAUGUACACUUUUUUUUUGUUUUUGUUUUACACAAGGUCAUAAAAGAGUGUUGAAUCUUAUUAAUGAAGUUAUGAGAAGCAUACAAAUGAAUAUCACAUUUCCUCACACAUCAUAGUGUCUGUUUACCAUAUUUAAAAAAAACAAACAAAAAAAAAACAAUUAAAUUCUGUUAAUCAGGAACUACUUCAACUGUCUUUAAAAAUGCAUUAUAAUUAAGGGAUAAAUAACCUUACAUCAAGCUACUAUGUGUAGAAACUAUGGUACAUAUAUCUUAUGUGGCUGUGUAAGGAAACUACUAUAGUACAUACUAAAAAGUGCAUGUGUAUGCCCUCUAGUGGUUAACUUAUUAACUGUAAACUACUUUAUUUUGCUCUCUCUUAACAAAAAUGAACUUAUAGACUAAGUGUGUAACAGAGUGCAUGGUGCAUGUCAUUAUGAUUUUAUUUUUAUUUCUUUCUUUUACAACAUUUAAUGGUUGUUCUGAAGGGGCUGCACCCAAUCUACAAUCAUCACGCCACUUACUUGGAGUCAUUUCCAUAUUAAACAGGCAAAUAUUAAAUAAUAACCUUAACCCCUUAGAUUGACAGUAAAUAAGAAGUAUAUUUCAGCAGCUGCAUUCUAUCAGUGGAAUAAAAAAAUGGAUUAAAAAUGGCUGGUUUUCCUACUAUGAUACACCUGAUUUAAUUAACUCAUUAAUGACCAGGUUUAAUACGAUUGUUAGAAGAGGAAAAAUACUCCAGACAAACAGCACUGCUGAUUCCACUGGGGUUUUGUUUAUAUGUUUCUUCUUCUUCUUCUUCUUCUUCUUCUUCUUCUUCUUCUUCUUCUUCUUCUUCUUCUUCUUCUUUUGCUGUCAUUAUUAUGUUUAAAUUAUGAUGAUUAUAUCUGUUGAGUCUGUUGACCUUUAUGGCAAAAUGCAUCAGAAAUUCAUAAUUUGAUAAUAAUAUGAAAAAGUAAUGUUUUUUUUUUGGCAUUUGAGAAUAUCAUAUUAAAUGGCAUUAAAGUAGGUUUCACUCUUUUAGAAAUAUGCUAAACAUACAUAUAAAGGCAGUAUUGUGUGUGUUCUAUACAGCAAUAAAACCAAAAAUCAUUUACAGUGUAUUACAAACUAAAUAAUGUGUUUUGCACUAAAUUCGUAGUGGGUGAAUGGGUGAGUUGCACAGUCUGAUAGAAAUGACUAGCAUAUAAGUAUAACUAUUUCAGAUUUUGCUAUUAUACCCCCAUAUAUAAAGCUUUUUUCUUUAUCUUGUAUCACUGCAUUGUCGCUGGUAAUCUUGCUGAAAGACACAGAGCCUUCCAAUAGACUUGCAAAUUGCCCUUCCCUUCUGUCGCUGCAUUAGCAUACAGAUGUGGUUAAAAAGAGAAAGUUGCCUCACAAAAGAGCCAUGCAGAGAGAAGUGGCCCUAGAUUUUAUUUACGGUGUCCGACCCCCAUGACCAGAAAGAAAGGCAGGAACGAUUGUCUUUGGACAAGUGACAGUGGGAUGUUUCUUAGUCUGCUGUGCACAAAGGGUUGCAACAAAGAGUCCGACUACACACAAAAGCUCUCAUCUGUUCAUUCAUCUUAAAGGUUACAUGUGUGUGUGUCCAGCUGUCGAGUGUUUUCACUUCUGCAAUGGAAUAAAUGUGCGAAUGCUGUUUAGAAUUUUUUGAUGCG